UACGUAGGGUGCGAGCGUUAAUCGGAAUUACUGGGCGUAAAGAGUGCGUAGGCGGUUUUCUAAGUUUGGUGUGAAAUCUCCCGGCUCAACUGGGAGGGUGCGCCGAAGACUGGAAGGCUUGAGUAUGGGAGAGGUAAGCGGAAUUCCUGGUGUAGCGGUGAAAUGCGUAGAUAUCAGGAGGAACACCGGUGGCGAAGGCGGCUUUCUGGACAGAUACCGACGCUGAGGCACGAAAGCUAGGGGGAGCAAACAGG
rnacentral:rRNA from 1 species